UAAAUAGCCAGGCCGGCUCCGGCCGGUCGUCGGCUUCUUAGAGGGACUGUCGGCGUCUAGCCGACGGAAGUUUGAGGCAAUAACAGGUCUGUGAUGCCCUUAGAUGUUCUGGGCCGCACGCGCGCUACACUGACCGAGCCAGCGAGUAUCUCCUUGGCCGAGAGGCCCGUGUAAUCUUGUGAAACUC
rnacentral:rRNA from 1 species